rnacentral:rRNA from 1 species
UACGUAGGGGGCAAGCGUUGUCCGGAAUCAUUGGGCGUAAAGAGCGUGUAGGCGGUCCGGUCAGUCGGUUGUGAAAGUCAAGGGCUCAACCCUUGAAUGCCGGCCGAUACUGCCGGGCUAGAGUCCGGAAGAGGUGAGUGGAAUUCCUGGUGUAGCGGUGAAAUGCGCAGAUAUCAGGAGGAACACCGAUGGCGAAGGCAGCUCACUGGGACGGUACUGACGCUGAGACACGAAGGCGUGGGGAGCAAACAGG